UACAGAGGGUGCAAGCGUUAAUCGGAAUCACUGGGCGUAAAGCGCACGUAGGCGGCUUUCUAAGUCAGGGGUGAAAUCCUGGAGCUCAACUCCAGAACUGCCUUUGAUACUGGAAAGCUUGAGUUCGGGAGAGGUGAGUGGAACUGCGAGUGUAGAGGUGAAAUUCGUAGAUAUUCGCAAGAACACCAGUGGCGAAGGCGGCUCACUGGCCCGAUACUGACGCUGAGGUGCGAAAGCGUGGGGAGCAAACAGG
rnacentral:rRNA from 1 species